rnacentral:lncRNA from 1 species
UACUAGUAAUUCAACCCGCUCACCUCACUCCCACACCAUCCCCUCUCUCUCUCUCUCACCACCCACUACUCACCGGCUGCCCCAACCCACCAUGGACGUGGAGAAAGAUGAGGAAUUAGAUGAAGAGGAACCCCAUGUAAUAUUUGGUCAAACGUCUAAGAUGGGAAGAGGGAGUAAAAAGGCGAAUACUUCACAACCAGAAAAACAACUUAGAAUCACAAUGCCAACAUAAGGUAAUAAUCAUAUCUUAAUUUAAUUUAGACAACUCAUAUGAUUAUUUGGGGGCGAUAACAUCACUAAUUGUCUGUCCACCUUUUGUAUUUUUAGAAUGUGUUGGUAUGGAGAAGAAAACUAUAUUAGAGCUUUAAUUAGGCAUAAGAAGACCGUGGGAUGGCGUGGAGAAGAAAACUAUCACGAUGGUGGUCGCGACAAUGGUGAUCGACGACGAUGAUGAUGUCGCAUGGUCGGGCAAUGGAUUUGAGAAAGAUGAGAUGACAGGUGUGAUUUGGGUGGUGAGUUCGGUGGCUGAGAUUGAAGAAUUCAGCGUUUGUGAUUUGGUGAGCAGUGGCAAAGUUGGGUAUUGGUGUAAAGAUUGGCUAUAGAUUGAAAGAGUCAGUGGUGAUCGAAAUGAUGGUGAAGAAAUUGUUUGGAGUUGGAUUUUACCCAAAAGAAGUUGUCGGCAAUUUGGAAUAAGUGGUGGUCAAAAUUUUAGUGCUCGAUGGGUGGAGACACUCGGCGUAGCGUGGGGUUGGGGAAGAAGAUUCAAUUUUUUAUCUCUAUUUGUUUUUAAUUGUUUUGUAUGCAAAUAUAUAAAAUAACUAGUUUA